UUACUAGUUUGAUCCUGGCUCAGAACGAACGCUGGCGGCGUGUUUAAGACAUGCAAGUCGCACGGGAUUGAAUGAGUAGUAAUACGAGUUCAGUCUAGUGGCGCACGGGUGAGUAACAUGUGAAUUACAUGCCCUUCAGUGGGGAAUAGCCCAGGGAAACUUGGAUUAAUACCCCAUGGUAUCGCAAGAUUAAAGGUGGCCGCAAGGCUGUCGCUGAAGGAUUGGUUCGCACCCUAUCAGCUUGUUGGCGGGGUAACGGCCCACCAAGGCUACGACGGGUACCUGGUCUGAGAGGACGAUCAGGCACACUGGAACUGAGACACGGUCCAGACACCUACGGGUGGCAGCAGUCGAGAAUAAUUCACAAUGGGGGCAACCCUGAUGGUGCAACGCCGCGUGGAGGAUGACGGUCUUCGGAUUGUAAACUCCUGUCAUCCGGGAGUAAGACCUGGGAGUGAAUAGCUCACAGGGUUGAUAGUACCGGAAGAGGAAGGGACGGCUAACUUCGUGCCAGCAGCCGCGGUAAUACGAAGGUCCCAAGCGUUGUUCGGAAUCACUGGGCGUAAAGGGAGCGUAGGCGGCGUGGUAAGUCAGAUGUGAAAUCCCGGGGCUCAACCCCGGAACUGCAUCCGAUACUGCCAUGCUAGAGGA
rnacentral:rRNA from 1 species